GACGAACGCUGGCGGCGUGCCUAACACAUGCAAGUCGAACGGGGUUUAGAGAAUGAGACCUUCGGGUGGAUUUCUCGAAGACCUAGUGGCGGACGGGUGAGUGACGCGUGAGUAACCUGCCGAGAAGAGGGGGACAACACACCGAAAGGUGUGCUAAUACCGCAUAUUGUCAUUUAUUCGCAUGGAUUUAUGAUGAAAGAUUUAUCGCUUCUUGAUGGACUCGCGUCUGAUUAGAUAGUUGGUGAGGUAACGGCUCACCAAGUCGACGAUCAGUAGCCGGACUGAGAGGUUGAACGGCCACAUUGGGACUGAGACACGGCCCAGACUCCUACGGGAGGCAGCAGUGGGGAAUAUUGCGCAAUGGGGGCGAACCCUGACGCAGCAACGCCGCGUGAAGGAAGAAGGUCUUCGGAUUGUAAACUUUUGUCUUUGGUGAAGAUAGUGACGGUAGCCAAGGAGGAAGCCACGGCUAACUACGUGCCAGCAGCCGCGGU
rnacentral:rRNA from 1 species